rnacentral:rRNA from 1 species
GUGCCAGCCGCCGCGGUAAUACGGAGGGGGUUAGCGUUGUUCGGAAUUACUGGGCGUAAAGCGCACGUAGGCGGAUCAGAAAGUUGGGGGUGAAAUCCCGGGGCUCAACCCCGGAACUGCCUCCAAAACUACUGGUCUAGAGUUCGAGAGAGGUGAGUGGAAUUCCGAGUGUAGAGGUGAAAUUCGUAGAUAUUCGGAGGAACACCAGUGGCGAAGGCGGCUCACUGGCUCGAUACUGACGCUGAGGUGCGAAAGUGUGGGGAGCAAACAGGAUUAGAAACCCCGGUAGUCC